GUUUAUCACAAAAUAGUAACAAAAUAUAAUAGUCAUUAAACAUAUAAAAGGUAUACAUAAAAGUAUACAAUUAUCUACAACUACAUGAUAAAUAAAUAUUAAAAUAAAAGUUUCAAAAUUAUUAUUUCCUUUCAGUUUAAUCUGACUUUUAUGUACAACAGAUUUUCUUUCUUUUUAGUUUACUUUUCAGUAAAGGAUCUACCCA
rnacentral:lncRNA from 1 species